GAUGAACGCUGGCGGCGUGCCUAACACAUGCAAGUCGAGCGAGAUUUAGUGGAGUGCGGACUUCGGUCCAAGUGAAGCUGGUGGAAGCGGCGGACGGGUGAGUAACGCGUGGGCAACCUGCCCCAUACAAAGGGAUAGCCACUGGAAACGGUGAUUAAUACCUUAUAAGUCGGUAGUUUCGCAUGAAACAGCCGACAAAGAUUUAUCGGUAUGGGAUGGGCCCGCGUUUGAUUAGCUAGUUGGUGAGGUAACGGCUCACCAAGGCGACGAUCAAUAGCCGACCUGAGAGGGUGAUCGGCCACACUGGAACUGAGACACGGUCCAGACUCCUACGGGAGGCAGCAGUGGGGAAUAUUGCACAAUGGGCGCAAGCCUGAUGCAGCAACGCCGCGUGAGUGAUGAAGGCCUUCGGGUCGUAAAACUCUGUCCUAUGGGAAGAAUAAAAUGACGGUACCAUAGGAGGAAGCCCCGGCUAACUACGUGCCAGCCGCCGCCGUAAAAC
rnacentral:rRNA from 1 species